rnacentral:misc_RNA from 1 species
AACGGUCUAUACCUGCGGUACCUGCGGAGGGAUCAUUACUGGAUCUUUGAUUCUUUAUACGCCGGCCGGUGUGGGUGGUGUUUGUACACCCUCACCCUCAUACCAGCCUGCAGUCAAACAACACACACUUUUGUACUGAAAUGACUGAAUCUCUUAUUAAAAGAUACAACUUUUAACAAUGGAUCUCU